UCUACCCACCCUGGGGACAGUAAUGCACAGACAUCAAUAUGAUGGAUGCAAAAUGUCCAUUUAUUUAACUGCGUCACAUGCGUAUAUAGCUCUUGUGCUUCCUGUUCCUGCCAGUCCUGGGGAGGAGUCUAUCUUCCCUCACAGCUCAUGAUCUCCCGGUCCCUGAUCCCUGUCUAUUUCCCUACAGUUUAGAAAUACAUGCAUGGGAGAGAAUAAAAAGUAAUACUAACUUCAGAAAGAAAGUGGUGGAAUUUUGUUUUCCUUGAUUCAGAUUUCUUCAUGAGACAAGAAAACAGGAAGAUGAUGUUUGUAAUUGUCAAGCCGAUUGGAAAACACAGAGCUAUGCUGCAUCCCCUGUCUUGGGAAGCUGUAGUGACAUAAGAAAAUCUAUGCAUUUUGUAAGAAGCAGUAAAAACAAAAAGACUCUUCAUUUCACCACUACAAAUAUUUUCUUUUCAUGGAGAAUUUUGGCACAUGUAUUUCCUUCAGAGCAACAUUGGUUUCCAGGCUGAAAAUGUUCAUGAUUCAGUCUCAGCUCUUUUCUAAAGGGAAUAAAUGCAAGCAUCUCUGUGCAAAUUGCAACAUUCUGUUAUAGAAGAGAAGAAAAUAUACUUGGUUCCUGCUCCUACUGCUGCAAGCCAUUAACUCCAUUCCAUUUCACAGCUGGGUGCUGUUUUCCUUGGGGGGGAAAGUGAUGCAAUAAACAUGCUUGGAAUAAUAAAA